CGAUUUUCUGCCACCGAAUACAUUAGCAUGGGAUAAUGGAAUAGGACCCUGUCCUCCUAUUUUCAGUUGGUUUUGGCAGCGCGAGGACUAGGGUAAUGAUUAAUAGGGAUAGUUGGGGGCAUUAAUAUUUAAUUGUCAGAGGUGAAAUUCUUGGAUUUAUGAAAGAUUAACUUCUGCGAAAGCAUCUGCCAAGGAUGUUUUCAUUAAUCAAGAACGAAAGUUAGGGGAUCGAAGACGAUCAGAUACCGUCGUAGUCUUAACCAUAAACGAUGCCGACCAGCGAUUAGGAGACGUUGAAUACAAAACACCACCAUCGGUUGCGCCGUCCUCCUUGGCGUCUCGGUUUCCGCCGGGGGGCGGGGAUGGCUUAUCCCGGUGGCGCCGCUGAAUGAUUCCCCCCCCACUUGUGGAGAAAAAAAA
rnacentral:rRNA from 1 species